rnacentral:rRNA from 1 species
UGAGGAAUAUUGCACAAUGGGCGAAAGCCUGAUGCAGCAACGCCGCGUGAGUGAUGAAGGCCCUCGGGUUGUAAAGCUCUGUCGGGUGGGAAGAUGUGGUCCAGCUAACAACCGGAUUGUGACGGUACCAUCAAAGGAAGCACCGGCUAACUCCGUGCCAGCAGCCGCGGUAAUACGGAGGGUGCAAGCGUUGUCCGGAUUUAUUGGGCGUAAAGCACGUGCAGGCGGUCUGGUAUGUCGAGUGUGAAAUCCCGGGGCUUAACCCCGGAACUGCGCUCGAAACUGCCAGUCUUGAGUUCGGAAGGGGGAGAUGGAAUUUCCGGUGUAGGGGUGAAAUCCGUAGAUAUCGGGAAGAAUACCGGUGGCGAAGGCGAUCUCCUGGUCCGAUACUGACGCUCAGACGUGAAAGCGUGGGUAGCAAACA